rnacentral:lncRNA from 1 species
AGAUGAGUUUCUGGUUCAUGGCUCGUUUCUUUCUUAGCUUGUUUAUGUCUUAGCUCUCUCGGCCCGAGUCUCGGGUUUGAAUCAGUUUGAAAUCUCUUUGGUAUCUUUAGUGAUAUUGCUUUGAGUUUGAUGAGUUCUAGUAAAGUUUAAAGAUGAUAGUAACUAUGUGUUGUUUCUGUUGAUGGUUUUAGCUUGUUAUAAUCUGAUGGGUUUGCUUGUUUAUUGUACUGUAUAUUGUUGGACCAUGAUUUGUCACCAAGUCUUUCCCGCCAUUAUUAUAUUAAUCUUUCACAAAGAUCAAGUCAAAAGAAUUGGUUAUUAGUUUCCUAAUAUCUCGGCCUCUUAUUAAUUCAAAAAGAAGUCAAAGCUGAGAAGAAGGAAGCACGUGUAACAACCAAACAACAUAAAAAGAGUCCUAUAAAAGGACAAAAGGCCACCUCACGAGCUCCAGAUCCCAUUAUUCCACCACCACUUAUAGAUAAAAGAUGAUCAUCACAAUCGAUCACCAUUUUGAUUAAGUCAUUACGCUUUGGUUAUACACUCUCCAAUCAUCGGGACUCUUCUACUAGAAGACAAAAAAAGUAAACAAAGACGUCUCCGUAUUUGUUAAUACAAAGGACGGGAUCAUAUGUUAUUUAUGAUCACGAACGAAGGAACCCGUGUAAGCUCGAGGAUGAAACCAGAAUGACAUACUUCCCGAAGUAAAGGUGUCCAUGAAGAAGAGUACAAUCCAACCCUACGUCUUAUCCGAGAUCGACGAAGAUCAAUGUCUCGCUCAAAGACCGACGAAGAUCGAUGUCUCGCUCAAGACCGAUGUCUCCUUCAAGAUUGAUAAACCCGGCGUCUCUUUAGAGACAAUUAUCUUUGAACUACGUUAGACUUGAUCCCGCAAUGGGUACAUAGGCAGCUCGAUUAUGAGUUCAGUCACGAUCCCUCUCUCCCCCGAUAUCUCUCUGCUGUUCAGCAUGCGAAUAUAGUCCAUUUUUGUCGAUUCGAACCUGAUUACAUCGAUGUUGUUCCGAGGAGUUUGCGCCCACGUUAUUUCUUCCCAAUUCGUUUUCAUUCAAACACUACAAAAUACAUAGUGUAGAUAAAAGGAUCUACAUAUAUAUUCAGUCUUUUAGUUCUGGAUAUUGACGUUUUAGGCUUGUUUCUAAUGGUGAUAAUAGAAGAAGCCGAGAAGAUGAAGAAAAAGGAAGACUGAAAUGACUAUUAAAAAUGUAUGCUUUUUAAUUCUAUAAAUAUAAUGAAGUUACGUUAAAAAUGAAUUUUUGUAUGUAAACACUGAUUUUUUAAUUGGGCUUCUCGGAAGGCCCAUUUGGA